CAAGUCGAACGGUAGAGGGGGCAACCCUUGAGAGUGGCGAACGGGUGAGUAAUAUAUCGGAACGUGCCCAGUCGUGGGGGGAUAACGUAGCGAAAGCUACGCUAAUACCGCAUACGAUCUAUGGAUGAAAGCGGGGGAUCGCAAGACCUCGCGCGAUUGGAGCGGCCGAUAUCAGAUUAGGUAGUUGGUGAGGUAAAGGCUCACCAAGCCGACGAUCUGUAGCUGGUCUGAGAGGACGACCAGCCACACUGGGACUGAGACACGGCCCAGACUCCUACGGGAGGCAGCAGUGGGGAAUUUUGGACAAUGGGCGCAAGCCUGAUCCAGCAAUGCCGCGUGCAGGAUGAAGGCCUUCGGGUUGUAAACUGCUUUUGUACGGAACGAAACGGUGAGCUCUAAUACAGUUUGCUAAUGACGGUACCGUAAGAAUAAGCACCGGCUAACUACGUG
rnacentral:rRNA from 1 species